rnacentral:rRNA from 1 species
CCUACGGGGGGCAGCAGUGAGGAAUAUUGGUCAAUGGACGAGAGUCUGAACCAGCCAAGUAGCGUGAAGGAUGACUGCCCUAUGGGUUGUAAACUUCUUUUAUAUAGGAAUAAAACGAGGCACGUGUGCCUUUUUGUAUGUACCUUAUGAAUAAGGAUCGGCUAACUCCGUGCCAGCAGCCGCGGUAAUACGGAGGAUCCGAGCGUUAUCCGGAUUUAUUGGGUUUAAAGGGAGCGUAGAUGGGUUGUUAAGUCAGUUGUGAAAGUUUGCGGCUCAACCGUAAAAUUGCAAUUGAUACUGGCAGUCUUGAGUACAGUAGAGGUGAGCGGAAUUCGUGGUGUAGCGGUGAAAUGCUUAGAUAUCACGAAGAACUCCGAUUGCGAAGGCAGCUUACUAAACUGUGACUGACAUUGAGGCUCGAAAGUGUGGGUAUCAAACAGGAUUAGAUACCCCAGUAGUC